UACGUAGGGUGCGAGCGUUGUCCGGAAUUAUUGGGCGUAAAGAGCUCGUAGGCGGCUUGUCGCGUCUGAUGUGAAAGCCCGGGGCUUAACUCCGGGUCUGCAUUCGAUACGGGCAGGCUAGAGUUCGGUAGGGGAGAUCGGAAUUCCUGGUGUAGCGGUGAAAUGCGCAGAUAUCAGGAGGAACACCGGUGGCGAAGGCGGAUCUCUGGGCCGAUACUGACGCUGAGGAGCGAAAGCGUGGGGAGCGAACAGG
rnacentral:rRNA from 1 species